CCUACGGGAGGCAGCAGUGAGGAAUAUUGGUCAAUGGCCGGAAGGCUGAACCAGCCAAGUCGCGUGAGGGACGACUGCCCUAUGGGUUGUAAACCUCUUUUAUAGGGGAGGAAAAAAUGCUACGUGUAGCAUGAUGCCUGUACCUUAUGAAUAAGCAUCGGCUAACUCCGUGCCAGCAGCCGCGGUAAUACGGAGGAUGCGAGCGUUAUCCGGAUUUAUUGGGUUUAAGGGGUGCGCAGGCGGAGUGGAAAGUCAGCGGUAAAAUGUCGGGGCUCAACCCCGAACGGCAGUUGAAACUGGAAUGCUAGAGGAGGCGAGAGGUAGGCGGAAUGCGUGGUGGAGGGGUAAA
rnacentral:rRNA from 1 species